UCUCCUACGGGGGGCAGCAGUGAGGAAUAUUGGUCAAUGGGCGAGAGCCUGAACCAGCCAAGUCGCGUGAGGAAGUACUGCCCUAUGGGUUGUAAACCUCUUUUGUCGGGGAGCAAAAGCCGGACGUGUCCGGCUGUGAGAGUACCCGAAGAAAAAGCAUCGGCUAACUCCGUGCCAGCAGCCGCGGUAAUACGUAGGGGGCAAGCGUUAUCCGGCUUUACUGGGUGUAAAGGGAGCGUAGACGGCAGGGCAAGUCUGGAGUGAAAGGCGGGGGCUCAACCCCCGGAUUGCUCUGGAAACUGCCA
rnacentral:rRNA from 1 species